rnacentral:rRNA from 1 species
GUCUAUGGCCAUACCACCCUCAACGUGCCCGAUUUCAUCUGAUCUUGGAAGCUAAGCAGGGUUGGACCUGGUUAGUACUUGGAUGGGAGAACGGUUUGGGAACAGGGGCAGAGGGUC